rnacentral:rRNA from 1 species
UUCUCCUGGAAACGGGUGGUAAUGCCGGAUGCUCCGACUCCUCGCAUGGGGUGUCGGGAAAGAUUUCAUCGGUAUGGGAUGGGGUCGCGUCCUAUCAGGUAGUCGGCGGGGUAACGGCCCACCGAGCCUACGACGGGUAGCCGGCCUGAGAGGGCGACCGGCCACAUUGGGACUGAGAUACGGCCCAGACUCCUACGGGAGGCAGCAGUGGGGAAUAUUGCACAAUGGGCGCAAGCCUGAUGCAGCGACGCCGCGUGCGGGAUGACGGCCUUCGGGUUGUAAACCGCUUUUGAUCGGGAGCAAGCCUUCGGGUGAGUGUACCUUUCGAAUAAGCACCGGCUAACUACGUGCCAGCAGCCGCGGUAAUACGUAGGGUGCAAGCGUUAUCCGGAAUUAUUGGGCGUAAAGGGCUCGUAGGCGGUUCGUCGCGUCCGGUGUGAAAGUCCAUCGCUUAACGGUGGAUCUGCGCCGGGUACGGGCGGGCUGGAGUGCGGUAGGGGAGACUGGAAUUCCCGGUGUAACGGUGGAAUGUGUAGAUAUCGGAAAAGAACACCA